AGCGAACGCUGGCGGCAGGCCUAACACAUGCAAGUCGAACGGAUCCUUCGGGAUUAGUGGCGGACGGGUGAGUAACACGUGGGAACGUGCCCUUUUGCUUGGAACCAUUCAGGGAAACUUGAGCUAAUAACGGAAGAGCUCUUCGGGGGCACGAUUUAUCGCCAUUGGGGCGGCCCGCGUCGGAUAAGCCAGUUGGUGAGGUAACGGCUCACGACGGGGACGAUAGGUAGCUGGUCUGAGAGGAUGAUCAGCCACAUUGGGAUGGAGACACGGCCCAGACUCCUACGGGAGGCAGCAGUGGGUGAUCUUGCGCAAUGGGCGAAAGCCUGACGCAGCCAUGCCGCGUGAAUGAUGAAGGUCUUAGGAUUGUAAAAUUCUUUUACCGGGGACGAUAAUGACGGUACCCGGAGAAGAAGCCCCGGCUAACUACGUGCCAGCCGCCGCGGUAA
rnacentral:rRNA from 1 species